CCUACGGGAGGCAGCAGUGAGGAAUAUUGGUCAAUGGACGAGAGUCUGAACCAGCCAAGUAGCGUGAAGGAUGACUGCCCUAUGGGUUGUAAACUUCUUUUAUAAAGGAAUAAAACGCGGCACGUGUGCCUUUUUGCAUGUACUUUAUGAAUAAGGAUCGGCUAACUCCGUGCCAGCAGCCGCGGUAAUACGGAGGAUCCGAGCGUUAUCCGGAUUUAUUGGGUUUAAAGGGAGCGUAGAUGGGUUGUUAAGUCAGUUGUUAAAGUUUGCGGCUCAACCGUAAAAUUGCAAUUGAUACUGGCAGUCUUGAGUACAGUUGAGGUAGGCGGAAUUCGUGGUGUAGCGGUGAAAUGCUUAGAUAUCACGAAGAACCCCGAUUGCGAAGACAGCUUACUAAACUGUGACUGACAUUGAUGCUCGAAGGUGUGGGUAUCAAACAGGAUUAGAUACCCCAGUAGUC
rnacentral:rRNA from 1 species